AGCGGUUUGUGGUGUGUUCCUCAACGAGAGAGAGCGGCCGAGAGGGGAACGCCGGCGAGCGGCACCCGCUGUGCAUCAGGCAGCCAACACCGCGGCGCUGCUUCACGUCCCGGAGCGCGUGCGUCACGUGCCGGCCGGCAAGGCUAAGGAGGAGAUGUGAGCUGCGCGCGCAAGGGGGGGCACGACUUGUAUGAGAUGUGGGCAUAGCGUGCGAUGGUAGGAUCCAGCAAUCUGGACCGUUAGAUGUGGAACAUGUGGUACAGAUCGGAUUAUUGGAUCUGGUGGAACAUUUUUGUAUACAAGCCCCCGUUAUCCUCUCUAUUUCUGCAUCUUCCUGUACCAUCACGUUUUAGUCGACCCUGUUCCCACAUCAGCGAAGCCGGCGGCGAUGGCGGCGGCUCCAGAUGUUGUAUCAAUCCAUCCCCACCUGGUCCCGAUGUGUAUUGAGGAAGACAGCUCCAUCACCCCUUCUCUCAUGUGGCGACAAUGGCGUCCUAGCGAUGGUGGCUACAGGGCGUCAAGCCAACUUGGUCCGCCCCUAGAUCUUGCUGGUAGAUCCUCUUCCCCGCGCAACAAGAUCCCGAUCCACAUCCGCACGGCUGCGAGAUAGACUUUUCAGACUGGGUGGAGGACUAUCUGGAGAAACAAAGAAACCCACCUCCCCUCGCAGAUCAAGCCUGGAAAAUGGAAAUGUUAGUGGGUUGGCUUUGCCAUUCAAGAAAUAUGAAAACUUCAGCCCACAGGGUCACACGACGACAAGGAAAUUAGCCAUAGCAUACAUGGAUCAGCAUCACAGGUUAAUGGUGCAUGCUCCUAGGAAGGGUCAUCACAAGAAAAUAAGGAAAGCCGCAGCUUACUCCAAUCGUCAGCACAUAAACAUGAAGAAUACUGUUGUCCUGAAAACUUGAUAUUGCACAAAGGUGAUGAUAUGAUGGGAUUCACCUGCUGGAGAGGUGCACACAAAUUAUGGGGUUGAGACCAGAGCAAGGAAGCGGAUGAGGCAAGAGUCCGCAGCUGGGACACGGCGAAGCGGAAGAAGGGUGGAGGCUUAAAGAAAUCUCUACAGAAGAAGAGGAGUGCAGAGCAGGAGGCCCGGCAUCGUAUUCACACUUGCAUCUCUAGUGUAUCAUGACAUUUUGUUUAUCCAGAUGUAUGUGAUCUUGUAUUAGAUGAUUGGCUGAAAUUUAGCUAUAUACGCAAACAGUAAAGUCUUCUUGUGAGCAAAAGCGAGUUCUGUAUGCAUGUCACUGAUUGUAGUUACAAAAUCAGAGAAGCAGUUUACUAGUUUGUGAGAUGGACCAGUAGGCCAGCUGAGAUGGGCAUUCCACA